CCUACGGGUGGCAGCAGUAGGGAAUAUUGCUCAAUGGGGGAAACCCUGAAGCAGCAACGCCGCGUGGAGGAUGACGGUCUUCGGAUUGGUAACUCCUUUUUGUAGAGAAGAUAAUGACGGUAUGUAACGAAUAAUCACGGGCUAACUCCGUGCCAGCAGCCGCUGUAUUACGGAGGGCGCAAGCGUUACUCGGAAUCACUGGGCGUAAAGAGCGCGUAGGUGGGAUAGCAAGUCAGAUGUGAAAUCCUAUGGCUUAACCAUAGAACUGCAGUUGAAACUGUUAGUCUAGAGUAUGGGAGAGGUAGGUGGAAUUCGUGGUGUAGGGGUGAAAUGCGUAGAGAUCAAGAAGAAUACUGAUUGCGAAGGCGACCUGCUAGAACAUAACUGACGCUGAUGCGCGAAAGCGUGGGUAGCGAACAGGAUUAGAUACCCUAGUAGUC
rnacentral:rRNA from 1 species